CCCCGGCUGCAGUAACAGUCUCCGUUCGCUUAAUCUGUAGUAUACGAACCAAAUGCAGGGGAAGCGGCAAUCUCCCGACCGAGAUCCGUGAACGGCUCCAAACUCCCGAACGGCAAUACACGAACUGCUGCUAGCCGCCGAACAACAAUAUUCACCAAGCGGCUUCCGUUCCAUCCAGCAGUCUCUAAACGUGAAGAAGAAA
rnacentral:lncRNA from 1 species